rnacentral:rRNA from 1 species
GGUUAAGCGACUAAGCGUACACGGUGGAUGCCCUGGCAGUCAGAGGCGAUGAAGGACGUGCUAAUCUGCGAAAAGCGUCGGUAAGGUGAUAUGAACCGUUAUAACCGGCGAUGUCCGAAUGGGGAAACCCAGUGCAAUUCGUUGCACUAUCGUUAACUGAAUACAUAGGUUAACGAGGCGAACCGGGGGAACUGAAACAUCUAAGUACCCCGAGGAAAAGAAAUCAACCGAGAUUCCCCCAGUAGCGGCGAGCGAACGGGGAGCAGCCCAGAGUCUGAAUCAGCUUGUGUGUUAGUGGAACGGUCUGGAAAGUCCGACGGUACAGGGUGAUAGUCCCGUACACCAAAAUGCACAGGCUGUGAACUCGAAGAGUAGGGCGGGACACGUGGUAUCCUGUCUGAAUAUGGGGGGACCAUCCUCCAAGGCUAAAUACUCCUGACUGACCGAUAGUGAACCAGUACCGUGAGGGAAAGGCGAAAAGAACCCCGGCGAGGGGAGUGAAAAAGAACCUGAAACCGUGUACGUACAAGCAGUGGGAGCACCUUCGGGUGUGACUGCGUACCUUUUGUAUAAUGGGUCAGCGACUUAUAUUCUGUAGCAAGGUUAACCGUAUAGGGGAGCCGCAGGGAAACCGAGUCUUAACUGGGCGUUAAGUUGCAGGGUAUAGACCCGAAACCCGGUGAUCUAGCCAUGGGCAGGUUGAAGGUUGGGUAACACUAACUGGAGGACCGAACCGACUAAUGUUGAAAAAUUAGCGGAUGACUUGUGGCUGGGGGUGAAAGGCCAAUCAAACCGGGAGAUAGCUGGUUCUCCCCGAAAGCUAUUUAGGUAGCGCCUCGUGAACUCAUCUUCGGGGGUAGAGCACUGUUUCGGCUAGGGGGUCAUCCCGACUUACCAACCCGAUGCAAACUACGAAUACCGAAGAAUGUUAUCACGGGAGACACACGGCGGGUGCUAACGUCCGUCGUGAAGAGGGAAACAACCCAGACCGCCAGCUAAGGUCCCAAAGUCAUGGUUAAGUGGGAAACGAUGUGGGAAGGCACAGACAGCCAGGAUGUUGGCUUAGAAGCAGCCAUCAUUUAAAGAAAGCGUAAUAGCUCACUGGUCGAGUCGGCCUGCGCGGAAGAUGUAACGGGGCUAAACCAUGCACCGAAGCUGCGGCAGCGACACUAUGUGUUGUUGGGUAGGGGAGCGUUCUGUAAGCCUGCGAAGGUGUGCUGUGAGGCAUGCUGGAGGUAUCAGAAGUGCGAAUGCUGACAUAAGUAACGAUAAAGCGGGUGAAAAGCCCGCUCGCCGGAAGACCAAGGGUUCCUGUCCAACGUUAAUCGGGGCAGGGUGAGUCGACCCCUAAGGCGAGGCCGAAAGGCGUAGUCGAUGGGAAACAGGUUAAUAUUCCUGUACUUGGUGUUACUGCGAAGGGGGGACGGAGAAGGCUAUGUUAGCCGGGCGACGGUUGUCCCGGUUUAAGCAUGUAGGCUGGUUGUCCAGGCAAAUCCGGAUAAUCAAGGCUGAGGUGUGAUGACGAGGCACUACGGUGCUGAAGUAACAAAUGCCCUGCUUCCAGGAAAAGCCUCUAAGCAUCAGGUAACAUUAAAUCGUACCCCAAACCGACACAGGUGGUCAGGUAGAGAAUACCAAGGCGCUUGAGAGAACUCGGGUGAAGGAACUAGGCAAAAUGGUGCCGUAACUUCGGGAGAAGGCACGCUGGUGUGUAGGUGAAGCCCCUGCGGGUGGAGCUGAGACCAGUCGAAGAUACCAGCUGGCUGCAACUGUUUAUUAAAAACACAGCACUGUGCAAACACGAAAGUGGACGUAUACGGUGUGACGCCUGCCCGGUGCCGGAAGGUUAAUUGAUGGGGUUAUCCGUAAGGAGAAGCUCUUGAUCGAAGCCCCGGUAAACGGCGGCCGUAACUAUAACGGUCCUAAGGUAGCGAAAUUCCUUGUCGGGUAAGUUCCGACCUGCACGAAUGGCGUAAUGAUGGCCAGGCUGUCUCCACCCGAGACUCAGUGAAAUUGAACUCGCUGUGAAGAUGCAGUGUACCCGCGGCAAGACGGAAAGACCCCGUGAACCUUUACUAUAGCUUGACACUGAACAUUGAGCCUUGAUGUGUAGGAUAGGUGGGAGGCUUUGAAGCGUGGACGCCAGUCUGCGUGGAGCCAACCUUGAAAUACCACCCUUUAAUGUUUGAUGUUCUAACGUUGGCCCCUGACCGGGGUUGCGGACAGUGUCUGGUGGGUAGUUUGACUGGGGCGGUCUCCUCCCAAAGCGUAACGGAGGAGCACGAAGGUUAGCUAAUCCUGGUCGGACAUCAGGAGGUUAGUGCAAUGGCAUAAGCUAGCUUGACUGCGAGCGUGACGGCGCGAGCAGGUGCGAAAGCAGGUCAUAGUGAUCCGGUGGUUCUGAAUGGAAGGGCCAUCGCUCAACGGAUAAAAGGUACUCCGGGGAUAACAGGCUGAUACCGCCCAAGAGUUCAUAUCGACGGCGGUGUUUGGCACCUCGAUGUCGGCUCAUCACAUCCUGGGGCUGAAGUAGGUCCCAAGGGUAUGGCUGUUCGCCAUUUAAAGUGGUACGCGAGCUGGGUUUAGAACGUCGUGAGACAGUUCGGUCCCUAUCUGCCGUGGGCGCUGGAGAAUUGAGGGGGGCUGCUCCUAGUACGAGAGGACCGGAGUGGACGCAUCACUGGUGUUCGGGUUGUCAUGCCAAUGGCACUGCCCGGUAGCUAAAUGCGGAAGAGAUAAGUGCUGAAAGCAUCUAAGCACGAAACUUGCCCCGAGAUGAGUUCUCCCUGAGACUUUAAGUCUCCUGAAGGAACGUUAAAGACGAUGACGUUGAUAGGCCGGGUGUGUAAGCGCAGCGAUGCGUUGAGCUAACCGGUACUAAUGAACCGUGAGGCUUAACCUU